rnacentral:lncRNA from 1 species
ACUUACUUACUUAACCCAUUCUCUCUUUUCUUUUUUCUGGCUUUUUCAUUUCUUGUGUGGAUUUUCAGUAAUGAGAUUCAUUAACUGUUUUAUUUUUUGGAAUUAAGUAAUUAUUUUGCUUAUGGAUGUGAUUUUUGAAUUGAGUUGUUUGGUUUUGAUUGAGGAAAUAACUGAUAAGAUAAGAACUUGUUUCUAUGUUUUUAUUUAGUGUUUGAGUUGGUAUCAGUGAGUGGAAAAUGCAAGAGUGAAGUGAAAUAAGAGAAUUAAUCUGUAGUCACCUAGUGUGGUAGUGCGGUAAUUUUGUUUUGCAAAGUGGAUAGAUAGUAGUUUUGUCAUGUUUGGAUAAACAACUUACUUAAGUGUUUAGAGAAUAAGCGCUUUUCUUUUAAGUACUUAUGUAUAGGGCCUGUUUGGAUUGUGUUAUAUUUGAAAUUAUGCAAAACAAAUUAUACAAAUAAAUAAGCUUUUAUGUAUUAUUUAUAUGUUUGUUAAGGUAUUUUAUGAAAUAAUAGCUUAUGAAGAUACAUUUUUUGCUAGUGAGAACUUAUAAAUUAACAUAAAAGCUUAUUAUUUGCAUAAUCCAUUUUUCAUAAGCUCAAAAAUCUAUUUUUAUAGCAAAAGAUAAAAUAAAAUUGGUUUCAUAUAAGCUACAAACUGUUUUCAUAAGCUAUUCUGUAGAGAUUAUGAAAAUAAGCAUAAAACAACUUAUGGAUAUGUCAUAAACCAUUUUCAUGAGGUCUGCCCAAAAUUUGGACAAAUGUUUAUGACAGUAGAUAUGUGCAAAUAAGCCAAUUUAAACAAGCCCUUAGUAGUAGAUACUGGCUUGCUUAUGAGACAACCAUAGCUUCAUGUGCUACAGGUGGUUUAGGGUAAUUUACUAC